rnacentral:tRNA from 1 species
GGUGAGAUGGCCGAGCGGUCUAAGGCGCCAGACUAAGGUUUGUCAUCCAAAUCGGGUGCUUACGUAAUAAUCUGGUCCGAAAGGGCGUGGGUUCGAAUCCCACUCUCAUCA